rnacentral:rRNA from 1 species
CCUACGGGAGGCAGCAGUGGGGAAUAUUGCACAAUGGACGCAACUCUGACCCAGCAACGCCGCGUGAAUGAUGAAGGUCUUCGGAUUGUAAAGUUCUGUGAUGGGGGAUGAACACAAUGACGGUACUCCCAUAGCACGCCACGGCUACCUACGUGCCAGCAGCCGCGGUAAUACGUAGGUGGCAAGCGUUAAACGGAAGGACUGGGCGUAAAGGUCGCGAAGGUGGUUUAGUAAGUUGGCGGUGUAAUUCCGGGGCUCAACCUCGGCGCUGCCGCCAAUACUAGUAGACUAGAGUGCAGGAGGGGGAGGUAGAAUUCCAGGUGUAGCGGUGGAAUGCGUAGAUAUUAGGAGGAAUACCAGGGGCGAAGGCGACUUACUGGACUAAGACUGACGCUGAGGCACGAAAGCGUGGGGAGCAAACAGGAUUAGAUACCCUAGUAGUC